rnacentral:rRNA from 1 species
AUUGAACGCUGGCGGCAGGCCUAACACAUGCAAGUCGAGCGAGCGGCGGACGGGUGAGUAAUGUAUGGGGACUGCCCGAUAGAGGGGGGUAACUACUGGAAACGGUAGCUAAUACCGCAUACUAACGGAUAACCCAUAUGGGAUUAGAUCGUAGGUGGUGUAAAGGCGCACCUCGGCGACGAUCCCUAGCUGGUCUGCGAGGAUGAUCAGCCACACUGGGACUGAGACACGGCCCAGAAUCCUACGGAGGCAGCAGUGGGGAAUAUUGCACAAUGGGCGCAAGCCUGAUGCAGCCAUGCCGCGUGUAUGAAGAAGGCCUUAGGGUUGUAAAGUACUUUCAGCGGGGAGGCGUUACCCGCAGAAGAAGCACCGGCUAACUCCGUGCCAGCCGCCGCGGUAAUUC